CCUGAACAGCAGCAGGCUUUUGAGCAGAUUAAGCAGGAGAUAGCCAGUGCCGUGGCCCUGGGGCCAGUAUGGAUGGAACAGGAUGUAAAGAACAUCCUCUACAGCGCUGCUGGAGGAAAAGGUCCAACCUGGAGUUUGUGGCAAAGAACCUCAGAGAAGACCAGAGGCUGACCCCUUGGAUUCUGGAGUCGAGCAUACAGGGGGUCUGAAGAGCACUACACUCCAAAUGAGAAGGAAAUCUUAGCCGCAUAUGAGGGGGUUAGGGCUGCUUCCGAAGUAGUUGGUACUGAGACGCAGCUCCUCCUGGCACCUCGAUUGCCAGUGCUGAACUGGAUGUUUAAAGGAAAGGUUCCCUCCACCCAUCACACUACUGAUGCCACUUGGAGCAAGUGGAUUGCUCUGAUUACACUCUGUAAGACAGGUAAAUUGUGCAUAUGUCUUAGCUGCAGUUGAAUUACCUAAUCUACAGGUAUUUAAUUUCUAUGAAUCUCAAAACUUUCAUCGUUCCUUUUAUAUCAUUGUGCUUCUCAUAAUACUCUAAAAGGAAAAGAAAAGAAACUAAUGAAAACAGAAAAUGAUGAAACCAAGAUUAAAUGGCAAAAACUUCACCUAACAAUUCACAGAUACACUUCUUUUGGAAAGAGAUUUUUUUUUGUUAUUUGGUUUUAUAUAGAGAGAAAUUAUUUAAUUAUCAAGGCAUUUUAAAACUAUAGAAUCAUAGAAUGGCCUGAGUUGAAAAGGACCACAAUGAUCAUCGAGUUUCAACUCCCCUGCUAUGUGUAGGAUCUCCAACCACUAGACCAGGCUGCCCAGAGCCACAUCCAGCCUUGCCUUGAAUACCUCCAGGGAUGGGGCAUCCACAACCUCCUUGGGCAACCUGUUCUACUGUGUCACCAUCCUCUGGGUUAAAAACUUCUUCCUAAUAUCCAACCUAAAUCUCCCCUGUCCCAGUUUAAAACCAUUCCCCUUUGUCCUAUCAGUAUCCACCCUUGUAAACAGCAGUUCCCCCUUCUGUUUAUAUGCUCCCUUCAAGUACUGGAAGGCCACAAUGAGAUCUCCUUGGAGCCUUCUCUUCUCCAAACUAAACAAGCCCAAUUCCCUC
ensembl:lncRNA